ensembl:lncRNA
UACAGUUGCUGCCCACACAUCAGCUGCUCUUGAACAGGCCUCUGCCCAGAUCUCUGGCAACAUUCAAAGUCAAUUCGAACGGGAUCAUGCACUCCUGCGUGCUGUGGAGGAGUUGAAGGCCUUGGUGAGGCAGAACAACCUCCUCCUCCAGGCCCUUACUAGGCAAAAAACGACAGCAGCAGCAGCAGCAGCAGACACUCUAUCUGAGGAAUUUAAGUUCCCAAUGAACUGCGAGGAAGACCUUCAAAGGGUGGAGGAUCUUCUGAGGGAGAAAUCCCAGGAAAAGGCCCUGGCAGCACACCUUAGUGCGCUUGGGGGCUGCAAUCCUGGCGACGCGGUUCGAAGAAUCCUUCGCCACAUCCUCACCAAC